UACGUAGGGGGCAAGCGUUGUCCGGAUUUAUUGGGCGUAAAGAGCGUGUAGGCGGCUGGGUAGGUCUGCUGUGAAAACUCGAGGCUCAACCUCGAGACGUCGGCGGAAACCCUCCAGCUAGAGUCCGGAAGAGGAGAGUGGAAUUCCUGGUGUAGCGGUGAAAUGCGCAGAUAUCAGGAAGAACACCUAUGGCGAAGGCAGCUCUCUGGGACGGUACUGACGCUGAGACGCGAAAGCGUGGGGAGCGAACAGG
rnacentral:rRNA from 1 species